CUGCUGGGGAAUAAGGAAGGUCCCCAACAUCAAUGGAUGCUCAGAAGCAUGAGCAUACUGACACUGUGUUGUGAAAGAGGUGACUUUGAUUUUCACAAAGGAGUGAAUGAAGGCAGAAGGCAUUUGGGGGAGACAGACCAGAGUGCUAAGAAAGGGAGGGCUGAGGAGCCCUCAUCUCUGGAGAACUUCUGAAGUGGCCUGAGGCGUGAGGGCUGAGUCUCAAGCCUUUGAGUCCCUCUUCCUCCUUCAGGCCACUCUUCUGAUAAGAAGCUUCCGGGUCCUGGUCCUGUCAUCAGUGCCUCACUGUGGGUCUGAGCUCCUUGCUUCAGGCAGCUGGGCCAGGAUUUAAAACACAUCUUUAUUUCCUAAAGCAGUCACAGCAACUGGGCACCUAGACAUGGAGAUCAAGCCCUUCAUAGACGCCACAUCUGUGGACACCGUGACCCUGGGCUCCUUGGCCUCCAGAACGCUAGCGUCUAGGCUACUCCAUGUUCUUCAUAAAGCAGGGCAACCCCAGGCACCAAAGGAUUCCUUCUGCUGCGUUUUCCAGCAUCUGUCAACGUCAUCUGACCAGAUAGCCCUCAAAUAGGGAGGCAGGCUGGCUCUCCAGGUGGGCCAUGUCAUCCCGAGAAUCAUAACAAGAGGCGUGCAGCAUGGGAAGAACUCAAUCCCAGAAACAGAUGAGAGGGACACACCUGUCUCUGGACCACUGGGGUGGAGGUUAGCCUGUCAGAGCACCGUUAGAUUCUGCUCAACCACUGUUCCUGUGAAGAAGAAGCCCUUGUGUCUUAUCUGAUGCUUCUUUCCCCUUGUUCCCACGACAUGUGUUCCCUCUGCUUCCUGACUGCCGGGCCAGCCUCAUGAUGGCCAUGCCUUCCCCGCCAUGAUGGGCUCUAUCACCUCUGGAGCCGUACGCCAACGUAGACCUGUCUUCUCUAACUUGCUUUUCACUGGGGUGUGUAUUAUCCCAGGCAUGGAAAAACGUAAAGCCGUGGUUUAAGUGUCUUAUUAUACCAGAAUGAAAGAAAA